rnacentral:rRNA from 1 species
UGGGGAAUUUUGCACAAUGGGCGCAAGCCUGAUGCAGCGACGCCGCGUGAGGGAUGAAGGCCUUCGGGUUGUAAACCUUUUUCGCUCAUGGUCAAGCCGCAGCUUUGGGUUGUGGUGAGGGUAGUGGGUAAAGAAGCGCCGGCUAACUACGUGCCAGCAGCCGCGGUAAUACGUAGGGCGCGAGCGUUGUCCGGAAUUAUUGGGCGUAAAGGGCUUGUAGGCGGUUGGCCGCGUCUGCCGUGAAAUCCUCUGGCUUAACUGGGGGCGUGCGGUGGGUACGGGUUGACUUGAGUGCGGUAGGGGAGACUGGAAUUCCUGGUGUAGCGGUGGAAUGCGCAGAUAUCAGGAGGAACACCGGUGGCGAAGGCGGGUCUCUGGGCCGUUACUGACGCUGAGGGGCGAAAGCGUGGGGAGCGAACAGG